GCAGGACAACAAGCACAGAAUGUACUGUUAGCUUACCGAGUGUUCCCUCAGGAAUGGCUCCUGGGAUCACUGGCAAGCUAACAGUACAGCAAACAAACCAAUCAGCUCGCGCCCUGCAGUGGGCUGAACGAGCUGAGGGAGAAAAAAGAGCGGCAAAAUUUUUUCUAGUGCCGCCCCUUUAAGAUGGGCGCCAGUACGGGCCGCGCAUGCGCGCGCGGCGCUCACGAACGAGAGGCCGCGGCGGGGGAACCCUCCGCCGGGAGAGAGAGCCGGUCCGGUCCUCGAGGGUUCCCUGCGCCGCGUGACCGAUGAGGGGGGUAAUAAACUACCCAGCGGCAAGUGUGGAGCCGGUAUCCCCGCGGGGGGGGGCGGGGUACCGGCGGGACAAUGUGGGAAAGGGGCCCCCCCACGGAGGGUUAGCUGGAAGGGGGGGUGUACACCAAACGCACAAUGCGUUCUGCUGAGUUUAAGUCAGGUCACAAAACAGGCAUAAUUUAAAAUAAAGUCAUACACACAUAUAUAAGUACAAAUGACAGUUAAGAGAAAAAACAA